rnacentral:rRNA from 1 species
GAUCCUGGCUCAGGAUGAACGCUAGCUACAGGCUUAACACAUGCAAGUCGAGGGGCAGCAUUUUAGUUUGCUUGCAAACUAAAGAUGGCGACCGGCGCACGGGUGAGUAACACGUAUCCAACCUGCCGAUAACUCGGGGAUAGCCUUUCGAAAGAAAGAUUAAUAUCCGAUAGUAUAUUUUCUCCGCAUGGCGAGAAUAUUAAAGAAUUUCGGUUAUCAAUGGGGAUGCGUUCCAUUAGUUUGUUGGCGGGGG